rnacentral:rRNA from 1 species
GGACUACUGGGGUAUCUAAUCCCGUUUGCUCCCCUGGCUUUCGCGCCUCAGCGUCAGAAAAGGUCCAGCAGCUCGCUUUCGCCACCGGCGUUCCUUCCGAUAUCAACGCAUUUCACCGCUCCACCGGAAGUUCCAGCUGCCCCUACCCCCCUCCAGAACACCAGUCUCCGAGGCUAUUUUCCGGUUGAGCCGAAAGAUUUCACCCCGGACUUGAUAUUCCGCCUACGCGCCCUUUAAGCCCAGUGAUUCCGAACAACGUUCGCACGGUUCGUCUUACCGCGGCUGCUGGCAC